AAUUCAGAAUGUCUUUUCUGUGUUAUUUUGACUUUUUUUGAGUUUUCUUAAAAGAUCCAUUUUUAAUUCUGCAUCUGAUAGGCCACAUGUCUCUGUUUCUCUGGGAUUUUUUUCCCCUAGUACCUUUUUUGGUUCAUUUGGUGAGGUCAUGUUUUCUUGGACAAUCUUGAUACUGUGGAUUCUUUUCUGUGUCUGGAUAUUGAAGUGUUGGGUAUUUACUGUAGUCUUCACAAUCUGGGGUUGUUUGUACAUGUGCUUCUAGGUAAGACUUCCAGGUAUUCACAAAAUGGGUGUUGUGAUCUAAGCUGUAUCUUCAGUGGAGGCCAUCCCACACCCAGUAAUGCUUCGGCUUUUGUAGAUUCAUAGAGGUACUCCCUUGAUGGUCUUGGACAAAUAUCUGGUAGAAUUAUCUAAAUUAUCAGGCAGAGACACUUGUUUCUUUUCCUUCGCUUUCUCUCAAACAAAUGGAGUUUCUCUCUGUGUGUGUGUGUUCUGAGCCACCUGGGCUAGAGGUGCAGUGUCACAAGCACUCUUUUGGCCAGCACCACUAACACGGCACUGGAUCAGAUCUCAAGCCAGCACAGCACUGGGUCUCACCCAAGGGCUGCUGUAACCACACCCUGGCUACCACCUGUGUUCAUUCAGGUCCUCAGGGCUCUAUGAUCAGCAUAUGGAAAAGGCAGCAAGUCUGGUGUCUUUCCCUUCAGGGUAGUGAAUUCUCCCAAGACCCCUUGCAGGUCCAGAGGUGUUGUCUGGAAGACAGGAACUAGAGUCAAAAACCUUCCGAGUCUACUUGCUACCCUAUUAUACUGUGGCUUUAAAGUCCCAUAGGAAGUACUGCCAAAUUACGGCCGGUGUUCCUUUAAUAUCCAAUGGCUCUUCAGUCAGCUUGUGAUGAGUGCUGCUGGUCUUGGACUCAUCCUUUAGGGCAGUGGACUAGUCUGGGACAGAUCCAGAAAUGUCAACAAGAGCCAAGGCCUGAAAUCGGGGACCCUAAGAGCCUGCUUGGUGUUUUACUUCCUGUGGCAGAGCUGACACCUAAGGUGCAAGACAAAGUCCUCUUUAGUUUUCCCUUUUUUUUUUUUUUAACUCUAAUAUUGCUUGACCUGCACUCAAAGGCAGUCUGAAGUUGAAAACUGAACACUGGGUAUAGAAAGAAAAGUCUUUUUUUGGGGGGGGAUGGAAUUUUACUCUUGUUACCCAGGCUGGAGUGCAAUGGUGCAAUCUCGGCUCACCGCAACCUCCGCCUCCUGGGUUCAGGCAAUUCUCCUGCAUCAGCCUCCUAAGUAGCUGGGAUUACAGGCACACGCCACCAUGCCCAGCUAAUUUUUUGUAUUUUUAGUAGAGAUGGGGUUUCACCGUGUUGACCAGGACAAUCUCAAUCUCUUGACCUCAUGAUCCACCCUCCUCAGCCUCCCAAAGUGCUGGAAUUACAGGCGUGAGCCACCAAGCCUGACACAGAAAGAAAAAUCUUCAAGAGAAAGUUGCUAUUUUUGGUCUGACAAGUAGGAAAACCAGCCACUGAGGGUCAGAGAAAGGUGGUUAAAUCCUCUGGGUUUUGUUUUGUUUAUUCUCUCCCAUCUCAGACCUGAAAAAUUCUAUGGUGUUAAUUACAGGAAAAACCAUGCAGGAAACUAAUCUUUGGGAUGAGGGGAACAUUCCUCUUGGGCCAGAAAAAUAUGUUCUUGAGAGCAUAGGAGAGAAUGUCUUUUGCUCUUUAAUUUUUCUAUGCCCUCAUGUUGCUCAGCCCCAGAGGCAGAAUUGACCAAGGAAAAUAUGUGGCAGAGAGAGAAAACUGAAGCGCUGACUCUCUAGCAUAGGACCAGGAAAAAUGUUCCUGAGAGGUAGAUAGUAACAAAGAGAGGAUGGAGCUUAAGAAAGUAAUUUUAUUGAGUUAUGUAUGAACUUCUGACCUCACUUCCAACCUACAUAUGCUUGGAUGUGACCUAAAAUAGCAUUUGGUCAGAACUGUUGUUGGAAGCAAAGUCCCAGAGCACAAUGACCUUACAGUCUGUAUGUAACCAGGCUGAUUGCCUGUUAAAACAACAACAAAUCAAUAUUCUUCAUAAGAGUUAAACAAGACUAACAAUAUAAAAAUACACAAAAUGCCUAGAAGAUAAUCAGAAUUAUCGAACACAUGAAGGACUAAAAAAACAUCAAUUCACUAAGAAAAGGAAAAUCAACAGACUCUAAAAACUAGAGCUACCACUGAUUUUGGAAUCAUUAGAUGAAGAUUUUAAAGCAACCGUUAUCACCAUGCUCUAUAAAGUAAGGGUGACCACAACAGAAGAGUCAGUGCUAUCAAAAAUAACCAAAUGAAAAUUUCAUUACUAAAAAAUGUAAUAACUGAAAUGUAAACAUUCACUGGAUAAGCUCAUAGAAGAAUGGAGGGCACAGAAGAGUAAGUCAACUUGAAUAUAGGUCAAUAGGAAUAAGAUACUCUGUCUGUUAUACCCUACUAAAAUUUAACUAUAAAAAUGCAAAAUUAAAGGACACUUUUUUCAGCAAUGUAAAAAAGUGAAACCAUAACCACAUAUAUCCUAAAUGCCAAACCACUUGUAUAUUUGCUUUGACAUUUAUACAUUUAAGUAUACAAUUUAUCUUUCAAAAAGUUUUCAUUUAAAAAUGAAAUCAGUGCUGAAAUUGAAUAUCAAGACAGCAAUGAGUCAUGGAUAAGCUACA
rnacentral:lncRNA from 1 species